rnacentral:rRNA from 1 species
UACGAAGGGUGCAAGCGUUACUCGGAAUUACUGGGCGUAAAGCGUGCGUAGGCGGUUUGUUAAGUCUGUCGUGAAAGCCCCGGGCUCAACCUGGGAAUGGCGAUGAUACUGGCGAGCUAGAGUACGGUAGAGGAGAGUGGAAUUCCCGGUGUAGCAGUGAAAUGCGUAGAUAUUGGGAGGAACACCAGUGGCGAAGGCGGCUCACUGGACCGGAACUGACGCUGAGGCGCGAAAGCGUGGGGAGCAAACA